rnacentral:rRNA from 1 species
GACAGAGAAGGAGCUUGCUCCUUCGACGUUAGCGGCGGACGGGUGAGUAACACGUGGGCAACCUACCUUAUAGUUUGGGAUAACUCCGGGAAACCGGGGCUAAUACCGAAUAAUCUGUUUCACCUCAUGGUGAAACACUGAAAGACGGUUUCGGCUGUCGCUAUAGGAUGGGCCCGCGGCGCAUUAGCUAGUUGGUGAGGUAACGGCUCACCAAGGCGACGAUGCGUAGCCGACCUGAGAGGGUGAUCGGCCACACUGGGACUGAGACACGGCCCAGACUCYUACGGGAGGCAGCAGUAGGGAAUCUUCCACAAUGGGCGAAAGCCUGAUGGAGCAACGCCGCGUGAGUGAAGAAGGAUUUCGGUUCGUAAAACUCUGUUGUAAGGGAAGAACAAGUACAGUAGUAACUGGCUGUACCUUGACGGUACCUUAUUAGAAAGCCACGGCUAACUACGUGCCAGCAGCCGCGGUAAUACGUAGGUGGCAAGCGUUGUCCGGAAUUAUUGGGCGUAAAGCGCGCGCAGGUGGUUUCUUAAGUCUGAUGUGAAAGCCCACGGCUCAACCGUGGAGGGUCAUUGGAAACUGGGAGACUUGAGUGCAGAAGAGGAUAGUGGAAUUCCAAGUGUAGCGGUGAAAUGCGUAGAGAUUUGGAGGAACACCAGUGGCGAAGGCGACUAUCUGGUCUGUAACUGACACUGAGGCGCGAAAGCGUGGGGAGCAAACAGGAUUAGAUACCCUGGUAGUCCACGCCGUAAACGAUGAGUGCUAAGUGUUAGGGGGUUUCCGCCCCUUAGUGCUGCAGCUAACGCAUUAAGCACUCCGCCUGGGGAGUACGGUCGCAAGACUGAAACUCAAAGGAAUUGACGGGGGCCCGCACAAGCGGUGGAGCAUGUGGUUUAAUUCGAAGCAACGCGAAGAACCUUACCAGGUCUUGACAUCCCGUUGACCACUGUAGAGAUAUGGUUUCCCCUUCGGGGGCAACGGUGACAGGUGGUGCAUGGUUGUCGUCAGCUCGUGUCGUGAGAUGUUGGGUUAAGUCCCGCAACGAGCGCAACCCUUGAUCUUAGUUGCCAUCAUUUAGUUGGGCACUCUAAGGUGACUGCCGGUGACAAACCGGAGGAAGGUGGGGAUGACGUCAAA